CCUCUCUUUACUCUCUACUUUUAGCAUAAAUACUGGACAAACAUAGGGCUAACGUUACACUGAAUUUUCGGGAGGAAUCUCCCAGAUCACUUUUUCCCCACACACAAAUAAGAAUCUUUUCACGUAAUAUGUCAUAAUCAUUAGAUUGAUAUACAGCAUGGCAACAAGAUUUUGGCCAUAGUCAGUGAGGCAGUGCGUAGAUCCACAGGUGGAUGCAGUGCUGCUCAAAGAAAAAGAUGGAGUCUUAUCCAAACAUACUCAGACAUUUUUAGACCAUCUAUUUUAGCUACUUCUUUCCCUGGCAAUAACCUCAGAAAAACUCCUGUUGGAAGCACUACUGAUGCUAACAGUACGUCCACUAAAAUAUCUUUGGUGAAAUGGUGUACAUUAGGGAUGAGUCAAAAUGUUCAACCGCACAAGGUGAUGAGUGCUUCUGUUUAGCCACCUGGGAUCCAAGAAUACCUGGUCAAGUAUUUUGUGAGCUUCUGCCUGCUUAAACUGGCCGACAUGGGGAAGAAAACCACCAGAGAUUCAAA
rnacentral:lncRNA from 1 species